rnacentral:rRNA from 1 species
UAACACGUAGGGAACCUGCCCGCGCACCGGGAAUACGCUCUGGAAACGGAGAACAAAUCCCGAUGUACAGGAAGGAGGCAUCUUCUUUCUGUGAAACAUCCUUUAGGGGAUGGGGCGCGGAUGGACCUGCGGUGCAUUAGUUGGUUGGCGGGGUAAAGGCCCACCAAGACGAUGAUGCAUAGCCGGCCUGAGAGGGCGGACGGCCACAUUGGGACUGAGACACGGCCCAGACUCCUGCGGGAGGCAGCAGUAGGGAAUUUUCGUCAAUGGGCGCAAGCCUGAACGAGCGAUGCCGCGUGAGUGAAGAAGGCCUUCGGGUCGUAAAGCUCUGUUGCGGGGGAAAAAAGGCAGCAUCAGGAAAUGGGUGCUGACUGAUGGUGCCCCGCCAGAAAGUCACGGCUAACUACGUGCCAGCAGCCGCGGUAAUACGUAGGUGGCGAGCGUUAUCCGGAAUGAUUGGGCGUAAAGGGUGCGCAGGCGGUCCUGCUAGUCUGGAGUGAAACGCAUGAGCUCAACUCAUGCAUGGCUUUGGAAACUGGAGGACUGGAGAGCAGGAGAGGGCGGUGGAACUCCAUGUGUAGCGGUAAAAUGCGUAGAUAUAUGGAAGAACACCAGUGGCGAAGGCGGCCGCCUGGCCUGUUGCUGACGCUGAGGCACGAAAGCGUGGGGAGCAAAUAGGAUUAGAUACCCUAGUAGU